UUUAAGUGCAACCAUGAGUUUCCGUGCCCAACUUUAAUCGUUCCUCUUAUUUGAAUUUUUUUCGUAAUUAGUAUUUUAUUGUUAUGAGAUGAUAAAACAUGAAUAAUACUUUAUGCGUGACUUAUGUUUUUAAAUUUUUUCAAAAUUUUUUUAAAUAAGACAGACGAUCAAAGUUGGGCACUGAAAUUCAUGGCUGCACUUAUA
rfam:Oryza sativa (indica cultivar-group) chromosome 11, whole genome shotgun sequence.